GAUGAACGCUAGCGGCAGGCUUAACACAUGCAAGUCGAGGGGUAUAUAGUUUUCGGAUUAUAGAGACCGGCAAACGGGUGCGGAACGCGUACGCAAUCUGCCUCUGUCUUGGGGAUAGCCCAUAGAAAUGUGGAUUAAUACCCAAUAGUAUUAUAGAGUGGCAUCACUUAGUAAUUAAAAGAUUUAUUGGACAGAGAUGAGCGUGCGUCCCAUUAGCUAGUUGGUGCGGUAACGGCGUACCAAGGCGACGAUGGGUAGCUGGUGUGAGAGCACGACCAGCCACACGGGCACUGAGACACGGGCCCGACUCCUACGGGAGGCAGCAGUGAGGAAUAUUGGUCAAUGGGCGGAAGCCUGAACCAGCCAUGCCGCGUGAAGGAUGAAGGCGUUCUGCGUUGUAAACUUCUUUAUUUGGGUAAGAAAAUUGUGGUUUCUACUGCAACCGACGGUACCAGAUGAAUAAGCACCGGCUAACUCCGUGCCAGCAGCCGCGGU
rnacentral:rRNA from 1 species